AUCAAGACAACGGCAAAGACGAGUUGACCAUUGGUGUGUCCUUGGGGUGAUCACCCCUUGAACUGGUGCUGAUAUAUUGAGGAUGAGGAGGAGCAUAAGGUUGUUGCACUGGCAUGCCAUAACUUGGCAUUUGUAUGACAUAGCUUUGAGGGGGGUAGUUAUGACUAUGAUCUGUUUCAUUUACGGAAGGAUACUGCAUAAUGUUAUUGGUGGAAUUAGUCCUUUAACCAACACACAAUUUUCUUUAUUAUCUUAGUGUCUAUGCAUAUAAAUGGGAGGAACUUAUAUAAGAGAGUAUUUCCACACUAAUGUAAUUUUGUAAACUACUAGGAAAAAACCAUUUUCUGUCUGAUUGGUUUAUAGAAUGGUCAGUAGUUGCAAGGAAAGGCAUACAUGAUACAUUUCAAAGUAAUAAGUGGUGGAAUAUCAACAUAAAUGAAUGGCAAAUUGCAUCUUUCAUUGCCAAGAAGUUUUUAUAUGGGAUUUGCUAGAACACAUCCACUAGUUUUUAUGUGGGAGUGUUUUAACAAGCUAUACCUUAAGGUGCAUUUAACUACUUUUUAGUUAUAACUUGCUAAAACACACUUUCUAAAAAUUAAGUGGGUGUAUUAUAGCAAAUGCCUGUAGGAGUUGCUAACAUACAUCCACUUAUUUUUUAGGUUAAUUGAAUUAAUAAUGAUCUAUGUGGUCCAUAUUAUGAACCAGAUACAUCAUUAAUUGAAAAAGUAAAAUUUGCUUAUAUUUAGAAACGGAGGGAGUAUUUAACAACUUUUUAGUUAUAUUUUUGCUAAAACACUCCCACAUAAAAAUUAGUGGGUGUAUCCUAGCAAACCCAUAUAUAUAUAUAUAUAUAUAUAUAUAUAUAUAUAUAUAACGAUACCGACACUCUUUAAGCAUUCUAAACUAAAUAAUUAUUUUCUAAAAAAAUCAAACAUUUCGAUCAAAUACAUUGAAUGUACACAUUUUCAAAAAUACUUACAACUUAUAAUUCUUAAAAAGUGUCUCAGAGACACUUAUCUGCAUUUCCCAUUUCGCAUGUAAUUAAUAUCAUUGCGUUUACCAUACAAUUUCUAACAGAAUCUGUUUAAGAUUACUGUAGGACCCACUUGCAUAUGGGUCUUUAGCACUUAUACUUUUUUUUUUGAAGGAAAGCACUUAUACUUCAAUAAUGCAUUUCUGAUUUCUCAAUUGUCAAUACUUCCAUUCAUAUGACAAUGAAGGUGUAUGAUAUGAACAUUGUUCUUUUUGGCUAGAUUGAACAUGUUACUGACUAUUUCAAACAUGUCACUACCGUGUUCUACUUCUAGCCAUGCUUGUGAAGAAAAACCAUCCAUGUUCUAGUUUGUGCGGACUGUGCUACGUAGUUUUCCUUAUUUUUGUUGCAAUAUUUUUAUUUAUGUUUUUUAUCCCUUGUAACUUCCUGUUUCGGUCUCUAAAUUUGAGAGUUUAUUGACAAUUUGUGAUGGUUUUGUUUAUGGUCCAGUGUCCCUCCUUUGGUGAGAUUUUCGUUUCUUCUUAGUCCUAGUGGUGGUUGUAUUGGAACUUUGGAAGUGUAUUUAAAGGGAACUUAGUUUGGUUUAGUGCUUCUGCUUAUUUUGAUUUAGUCCUUCCUGACUACAAUUUUUAAUUUAACAAGUGUAUUUUAAGCCAUAAAAUUUUCUUACUACAAGGAAUUGGUUCAUGUGAUCCUUUUAGAUGAUCAAUAUAUAUAAAGUAAUGACAUAUGUUUCAUUUAGUUAGAGAUAUGCUAAAUCACUUCUUUUUUAAUGGAGGGAUCUACUAACUACCAUUGGUUACGUUAGCCUUCUUCAAGGCCAAAAGAAGUUGUCUUGAACUUUAAAAUUUCUUGAUUUGUUUUGAGCUUCCUUGUAGUUGUCUUUUGGAGCUUCCUCGUUCAAUCUCCUUUAAUUUCCCACGAGCUUCCAGCAGUGAAAGUGAAUCACCAUUUGAUUUCACCACCACCCUCAUCGUCGUUUCGGCAUGGCCAUUGUUCCACCUUCUCUGUAAACGUCAUCGUCAUCAACAACGAAGUUGCUGCUUUUUUCACCGCCACCCUCGUCAUCGUUCCCGCAUGGCCAUCAUUGCACCUUCUCUCUUUGCCGGUAGUUUUAUUUUUUUUUAUUACCGUUUUUCUGUUUUUUUGGUAGACCAACGAUUCUUAUACAUAUCCUCUCUUUUGUUAUAACUAUUUACCGGUAAUGCAUAUUGAGACAGAUAAUGUUUGAAACGUACAAAAUAAUGAUUGAAACAUUCAAAAUCAAUAAAUAUUAUUAAUGAAAAUUUAUGGUUUUGUAAAAAAAAAAAAAAAAAUUAGGUUUGAGGUUUCCUCGGUAGUUAACUUCAGUUCCAUAAUUCGGCAGUUAACUGCCGAGUGACAUUUGGGUAAAUUACUCAUGUUUCUCAACCAAUGCAUAUGUGUCAACAACAAUUCUCUUUAUUUAUUUACUUUAUGUAUGUGAGGUGUCAAGUUUUGGCUGGUUAUGACCAAUUGCAAUUUCUUGGUCACUUAGCCUUAUAAGAAUUCUUGAACUCCUCUCCGGUUGGAUCUAGACAAAAAUGUUUGGAUGGACUGGCCAAAUAAACUAUAAUAUAUAUUAAGAAAAUUAUAUGUUCAUAAGCAUUACACACAAUGGUGACCAUCACAAAAUUAGAUUACAUAUUUUAAAAAUUCAAAAUAAUAUUCUAUGCAUUUCGAUUGACUUGAAAAUGUGAUGGUAAUGUAUAUUGAGACGGAGAAUAAGGUGAAUCAUAAAGUAAUUUUAUUUAAAAGUCAAGAAUAUUUUACUAAUUUUUCCUAUAAAAAAAUUAUUAUUUUUGGGCUGGUUGGGCCUUGGCCACCUAUGCUUGCUCGCCAUUUCAAUCGAAGAACAGGAAAGAAAACUUAAAAAAAAAAAACAUGCUCGCCAUUUUAUUUGAAGAACAGGCAGAAUGUUCAAAAAAAAUGUUAUGUUCGCCAACUAAAAUGAAGAACAGGGGCAUUUCUAUCAAUAAUUUUAAACUAGGGGCAGACAUAUCAAUUUUUUUGGUAAUAGGGGCAGAAAAAAAUUCAAAAUGGGACCAGGAUAUGCUGCCACACAGUUUCACAUAGUUUUGAUUUGUGACCAUUGUAAUUUUAUCAAACCAUCCAAUAGCUGAAAUAAAAACUGUGUUGUACUUUACAGCACCAAAUCCAUAUCCCACAAAAUGUACUAAUUAAUUGCAUAGAUACCAAAGAAAUAUCAUCUACGAAAAGCAACUUAACUUGUUGGAUUAUAGGCUGAUUUAAGACAAAAAUAUGAAGUACUGUAAAUUGGAACUGAAGUAGGUCUCUAAUUAAGUGACAAAGCUUAAUAUACUGGUGAUCAUAUCAGACAAACAUUUUCAAGCAUCAAACAGAAUAUAUACAAACCAAGAAGUUGAAACAAGAUCAACAAUUUCCGUGGCUUGUGAAAAGAGCUCCUAAAGAGGUUUCAUUUUUUUCUUUUUUUUAUCUUGUCAUAGGUGAAAUCAUUGGUGGUGCCACUGCAACUCCUGGCCUCUGUCUUUCCACGUUGGCAUCCCAACCUAUAUUUCAGACUCAAUUAGUUAUCAAAAACAAGUCAAGGGUCAAGCAAAAACACUAAACCAUAUGAUAUCACACAAAUUCACAAAAACUUUUAACCUUCAAUACCUAAAAAUAUAAGUUAGAAAUCCAACUCGAAAACUAGACAAAAAUUAAGAAAGCAGAGAUUCUUGAGUAACCUCACUGACCACUUUUAGCCGGGUCUCUGUUAAAUGUAGUUAGAGAUCUGUUAAAUCUUAGUUGAAGUUUGUUAAAGGUAGUUUCAAGCUGGUUAGGAUUAAGUGCAAGUUACUUAAGAUUUUUAUCCUAGUAAGGAUCGCUGUAUUAUAAUAGACUUUUCUAAUUGAAUCAAUUCUAAGCAUAAUUAAUCUUUCUCUCAAUUUAUUUUUCAAUUUGUUGGACUCUGGAGCAUAAGAGAGGGAGACGUCUCUCUUCAGCCCAAAAUCUUAAAACGUUACAUUUUAUUCAUUAAUAAAUGGUAUGAGAAAUAACCAUCCACACUUGAAUCCAAUGAUCUCUCCCUCAAGUGUUUUUAACGUCCUAUAAUAGGAUCCAAAACAGGAUCCAGCUCUUGCUCCCCUACCAAGUUGAACUAGGGAUCUGAUACCACUUGUUGGGGAGUCUGGGUAAGUCGGGAACAACAACAGGGCAAAAUGUUCCAAGGCCACAAGAGAGGGAGACACCAUAUCUCCACCCAAAACCUUAAUGUAUUAGGUAUACGGGUCACCUCUCUUAUAUAUAUCCAACAUUUUAUCCAUUGACAUGCGAUGUGAGACUUGACCAACUUACACUUGUACUCAACAUGAAGUCUCUCAUCCCAACCAUGUUUUCUCAUCUCAAACUCGAGACGUUGCUUAAGAGAUCCAAAUCUAAUUUAGUAUAUUGAAGUAUUUGAAGAAAGAAUUAGGUACCUAUGCUCAAGUCAUAUCCACGGUUUUUGAGCUCUCUAUAUUCCUGACAAAGAGCACAAGUUUCACAACAAAAAUGAACUAAGCAAUCCAUACAAGGUGCCUCUGGCAAGUCAUAUUGUGCCCUCAGUUUGGACCGAUAAUAACAUGAAUAUAAACAUGCAAGUCCAGUCACAGCCAGUAGCGCCCCAUAAAUUGUUCCAUCACAGGUGCAAGCUGCAUAUACCAAAACAUGAUAAAUAAUAAUGAUUAUAGAUAUAUAAGUACUGAUUUGUUUAAAUUUUAUGCAAAAUUAAACCUGUGGUCCUUAACUUUAAUGUUUUGGUCUUUUAGUUUUUUCUCACGUAAUUUUGGACCUUUUAGUACGUUUGCAUAUGAAUUUUCAAGUUUAAAAUCUCAUGUUCAUAUGCAAACAUGGAUAAAGAAUCAUAAAUUUGAAGACCGACAAGUCACAGGGAAAUAAAACUAUAGAUUUUAAGUUUGAAAAUUGAUAUGCAAAUCGGCCAAAAUGACAUGAAAAAAAGAUAAAAAAACUAAAAUACUACUUAAAAUUAAGUUAAGAGAACACAAUUAAUUUUGCCUAAAUUUUAUAGAAAAGCUUACUUACUUGAAUUGCCUUUAUCCACUAUCUCUGCUAUCAAUCCAAAAGUAACACAAGGGCAGAAGCAAGUGACCAAACCUAUUCAAUUAGAAAAGGAAAAAAAGUAAUUAACCAUAAUAUAUUUGUGUUUAAAGAAAGGUGAAUGAAUCUACUACAUGAUUCUUACAGAUUCCUGGAUCAUCAAGACAACGGCAAAGACCAGUUGACCAGUGAUGUGUUCUUGGGAUGCCCCUUGAACUGGUGCUGAUAUAUGGAGGAGCAUAAGGUUGUUGCACUGGCAUGCCAUAACUUGGCAUUUGUAGGACAUAGCCUUGACCUUGAGGGGGAUGGCCAUGGCCAUGACUACUAUGAUCUGUUUCACUUACGGCAGGAUACAUAAUGUUGUUGGUGGAAUUCAUUUAACCAACACAAACU
rnacentral:lncRNA from 1 species